AAACGACUCUCGGCAACGGAUAUCUCGGCUCACGCAUCGAUGAAGAACGUAGCAAAAUGCGAUACUUGGUGUGAAUUGCAGAAUCCCGUGAACCAUCGAGUAUUUGAACGCAAGUUGCGCCCUAAGCCAUCCGGUUGAGGGCACGCCUGCCUGGGCGUCACGC
rnacentral:rRNA from 1 species